rnacentral:tRNA from 1 species
GAACCAGUGGCUCAGUGGUAGAGCGUUAGAUUCACAUUCGAAAGAUCGAUGGUUCGAAUCCAUCCGGGUUCACCA